AUUGAACGCUGGCGGCAUGCUUUACACAUGCAAGUCGAACGGUAACAGGCCGCAAGGUGCUGACGAGUGGCGAACGGGUGAGUAAUGCAUCGGAACGUGCCCAGUCGUGGGGGAUAACGCAGCGAAAGCUGCGCUAAUACCGCAUACGAUCUAUGGAUGAAAGCGGGGGACCGUAAGGCCUCGCGCGAUUGGAGCGGCCGAUGUCAGAUUAGGUAGUUGGUGGGGUAAAGGCUCACCAAGCCAACGAUCUGUAGCUGGUCUGAGAGGACGACCAGCCACACUGGGACUGAGACACGGCCCAGACUCCUACGGGAGGCAGCAGUGGGGAAUUUUGGACAAUGGGCGCAAGCCUGAUCCAGCAAUGCCGCGUGCAGGAAGAAGGCCUUCGGGUUGUAAACUGCUUUUGUACGGAACGAAACGGUUCGGGUUAAUACCCUGAGCUAAUGACGGUACCGUAAGAAUAAGCACCGGCUAACUACGUGCCAGCCGCCGCGGUAAUAC
rnacentral:rRNA from 1 species